UUGUGUGUGUUUCAAUUCCUCUAACUGCAAUAGAAGAUAACACUAAGUUUGUUCCAUAAUGAAGAAAACACUGAAUUUUUGUGUGGUAUUACCACAUAUUAUCAGAAUUCAACUUGAUAAUGGCAUUAUUGUCUUUGUAACAACAACAACAACAACAGUGCGGUAUUACCACACAUUAUCAGACUUCAACUUGAUAAUGGCAUUGCUGUCUUCAUAACCAAAACAAUAAAUAGAUACAGGGAGGGUAACUAAUUGAUAUGAAAGGUAUUCAAUUGGCCGCACAAGGAUUACCAGAAGGAAAAAAAGAAGAGAGAGGGAAGAAUAACGGAAAAGAAAAAGCUGCCACAACAACAAC
rnacentral:lncRNA from 1 species